UCGUAAUGCUUCAUUCUCACAA
rnacentral:miRNA from 2 species